rnacentral:rRNA from 1 species
UAGGGAAUAUUGCACAAUGGGCGAAAGCCUGAUGCAGCGACGCCGCGUGCGGGAUGAAGGCCCUUGGGUUGUAAACCGCUUUUGGCAGGGAAGAAGCGAAAGUGACGGUACCUGCAGAAUAAGCCCCGGCCAACUACGUGCCAGCAGCCGCGGUAAUACGUAGGGGGCGAGCGUUGUCCGGAUUUAUUGGGCGUAAAGACCUCGUAGGCGGUUUGGUAAGUCAGCGGUGAAAGUUCGGAGCUCAACUCCGAAAGUGCCGUUGAUACUGCCAUGACUUGAGUCCGGUAGGGGAGUGUGGAAUUCCUGGUGUAGCGGUGAAAUGCGCAGAUAUCAGGAGGAACACCAGUGGCGAAGGCGGCACUCUGGGCCGGUACUGACGCUGAGGAGGGAAAGCUAGGGGAGCAAACAGG